rnacentral:tRNA from 1 species
GGGGUGUUAGCCAAGCUGGUAAAGGCACCGAACUCAUAAUUCGAAGAUACGUGGGUUCGAGCCCCACACACCCUAC